CAAUAGCGUAUAUUAAUGUUGUUGCAGUUAAAAAGCUCGUAGUUGGAUUUCUGGUGGGAGCGGCCGGUCCGCCGUAAGGUGUGUACUUGGUUGUCUCCUGUCAUCCUUGUGGGAACUGCUCUGGCAUUAAGUUGUCGGGGUUAGGGAACACAUCGUUUACUGUGAAAAAAUUAGAGUGUUUAAAGCAGGCUUAUGCCGUUGAAUACAUUAGCAUGGAAUAAUAAGAUAGGACUUUGGCGUCUAUUUUGUUGGUUUGCACACCAAGGUAAUGAUUAAUAGGGAUAGUUGGGGGUAUUCGUAUUUAAUUGUCAGAGGUGAAAUUCUUGGAUUUAUGAAGGACGAACUUCUGCGAAAGCAUUUACCAAAGAUGUUUUCAUUAA
rnacentral:rRNA from 1 species